AUGCACAUUGGUGCAAGCAAAAUCAAACAGAGAUCUCGAGAGGCUGACAGUGUAAGCACCAGCAUGAAGGUUAAGAUCGAGAGCUCCAAGAUCGUCAAGCCGCUGUACGAGGACGGCGAGGCGCCGGAGCGUGCGCAGUGGGUGCCGCUUUCCGUGUUCGACAAGGUGACGUACGGGGAGCACGUCGCCAUCAUCUUCGCGUUCCGGCCGCCGAACCCGCCCAACAGCGAGGUCGAGCUGGGCCUGGCCAAGGCGCUCGCCGUGUACCAGGAGUGGGCCGGGCAGAUCGGCGACGGUCCCGACGGGCGCCGGUCGGUGCUACUGAACGACGCCGGGGCGCGCUUUGUGGAGGCCAAGGUGGACGCGCCCAUGGCGGUGUCCGUGCCGUCCGGGCCGUCGCCUGAGGUGAGGCGGCUGCACCCGAGGAUCGACGACGGCCCUGUGGAGCUGGUGCAGGUGCAGCUGACUCGCUUCUCCUGUGGGUCGCUGGCCGUGGGCUUCGCAGGGCACCACCAGAUCGCCGACGGGCAGGCCACGGCCAACUUCCUGGCGGCGUGGGGCCUCGCUACGCGGCAGCUCCCGGUGUCGCCGCUCCCGGUCUGCGACCGCGGCACCCGGUUCGCGCCGCGCGAGCCGCCGCUCGUGGAGUUCCCGCAUCGGGAGGUGGAGUACAGGGCGCCGGCACCAAACACGAUGGACGAGAAGGAGGAGAUCGGCUUUGGCGCGGCGGGGCACGACAAGGUGAAGGUGCACAUGAUGCACCUGAGCAAGGAUUUCGUGGCGCGGCUCAAGGCGCGGGCCUCGUCGGGGCUCCCGCCAUCGCGGCGCGGCUACACGACGUUCCAGAGCGUGGUGGCGCACCUCUGGCGCGCGAUCACCGCGGUGCGCGGCCUGGGCGCCGACGUGACGACCAAGGUCCGCAUCUCCAUGAACGGCCGGACGCGCAUGCGCCCGCCCAUGCCGCGCGACUACUUCGGCAACGUGGUCCUGUGGGCGUUCCCGCGCACGGACGCCGGCGACCUCAUGUCCCGGCCGGUGGGCCACGCGGCGGAGCUCGUCUACCGCGCCGUGGCGGACGUGGACAACGCCUACUUCCGGUCCUUCGUGGACCUUGCCUCCUCCGGCGUUGUGGAGGCUGAGGGGCUGGUCUCAACGGCGGACAGCGAGCAGGCGGUGCUGUGCCCGGACCUGGAGGUGGACGCGUGGCUGGGGAUCAACUUCCACGGCCUGAAUUUCGGCGGCGGCGGGCCCUUCCGCGUCAUGCCGACGUACUACCCCAUGGAGGGCAGCCUGUUCCUGGUGCCGUCCACCCUGGGCGACGGCAGCAUGGAGGCCUACGUGGCCCUCUUCGACGACCACCUUGCGGAGUUCAAGAGGAUAUGCCACAAGAUCGAUUAG
rnacentral:rRNA from 1 species